rnacentral:lncRNA from 1 species
CCACUGCUCUCCAGCCUGGGAGACAGAGGGAGACCCUGUCUAAAAACAAUAAAAGAUGAAUGAAUGGAAAUUAUCGGAAAGCAGACUUCAACUCAUCAUGAGAAAAUUUACUUUGAACACUACUGAAAAUAUCACCAAUUAUGUGCUGCAGUAUACUUCCCACCAGUCUAUUCUGGCAUGCUUCUAAUAUGAGAAUCACCUGGAUCAAAGAGAGCCAGUGUGCAUACUCUGUAGUAUUUUCCACAUGCUGUGCCCAAUUCAAUAUUAUUGUCACUGUAGUGAUGGACACCAGUCCGGCCAACAUUUCAUAGUACUCUAUUUUGGAUUUCCUCAAAGCUGGGCAGUUGUUAGAGAGGAUGACCAAUUUCACUUUGCCUUGUGUGAUCAACUUCAGAGUCUGCUUGUACCCCAGCAUGUACUUUCUACUUUUCAUAACUAGAGUUGAUCAACUCCAGUGACUUUUUCAUCUUCUUUGUGGCUACCAUCUUCCUGCCUAGGUGUGGGAUGGCCCCCAACCAAGAGCAGCCACCAAGAUGGUGGAAAGUGAGAAAGGCACCCAUACCUCUUGAGAUACUAUCUUUUUCCAUCCACUCUUUUCCUUCUUGACUCUGAUUAAAUUUAAGUUAGACUUUAUCAUGUUAGCCUCUCUAACUUACUGUAUAUCUUUUUGUCUGUCUUUGCUGCAUCCUAGAUUUCUUCUGAUUUAACUUCCAGGUCAUCAAUUCUCAAAGUCAGAAGUGUAAGAUCUUAUCUCCUCUCUGACUUUUGCUUACAUACUUACAUUUUUUUCUCUCAGAUCUUCUUGCCUUUCUCUUAUAGAACACCUGUGAUUACAAUGAGCCUACUUGGAUAAUCCAGAAUAAUCUCUCCAAUCUCAAAAUCAUUCAUUUUAUCAUAUCCACAAAGUUCCUUUUACCAUAUAAAGUAACAUUUCCACAGGUUCCAGAGACUACGAUGUGGACAUCUUUGAGGAGCCAUGAUUCAACCCACCACAGUAAGCACAGUUAUUUUAUAGUCUGUGUCCAAUAAUUUCAAGAUCUAAAAGUGUUCCCAGAUUUGUUUUUGUUGUCUGUUUUUCAGAUGGUUCCCACACGUGUUGCUUGCUUCAGUAUGUGCUGGGUUAAAAAAAAAUGGUGCCCAAUAAUAAUUUACCUAACAUUUUUAGUUGUUUUUAUUAGCAGUGUUUGGGCUGAAAAAUAGCCCACUAUAAAGAGAAAUUAAAAUUCAAGUCUUCCAACAAUAAUGAUUGAUGUAUUGCCCACUGACAGUAUGGCAAUCACUGUCUUGAUGGCAUAAUGUACAUUCUAUAUAGGAAAAAGCCAUGGAAGGGACUGCAGUAGGAAGUUCCCAAACCCAGGACAAUUCAAGUAGGGAUAAUGAGAGCUGAAAGGUACAUCAUGUUUACUGGGGAAGAAACCUUUAAAAUUAGAUGUUUCAAAAUGAUAAUGGGUCUGUGCAAAUACCCUUAUAAUUAUUACUAAGGAGUUUCAUGCCCUUCACACAUUCCUUUAGUCACUUACUAUUCAGCAGGCAUUUUGUUGAACACCAAUGAUGUAUCUAUCCAUUACUCUGCAGGUAAGUAAAAAUACAAAGACGAAUACAA